rnacentral:snoRNA from 1 species
GUGAUGACACCCCAAUAGCCAGAUUAUGAAGAGACUCGCAUGGGCUGA